CCUCAGAUUGGACGAGAUUACCCGCUGAAUUUAAGCAUAUAACUNAGCGGAGGAAAAGAAACUAACNAGGAUUUCCCCAGUNACGGCGAGUGAAGCGGNAAGAGCCCAGCACCGAAUCCCCCGGUGUGCAGCCGGCGGGAACUGUGGUGUGUGGGACGCCACCAGUCGCGCAUGCCGAUGCCCAAGUCCUCCUGAUCGAGGCUUCACCCAGAGCGGGUGUAAGGCCUUUAGCUGGUACUCGGCUGCGCGCCGCGAGCGUCCCAGGAGUCGGGUUGUUUGGGAAUGCAGCCCAAAGC
rnacentral:rRNA from 1 species